ACAGCCACAUCAUGUAGAAAUGCUAGUUCCUGUAUGAUUACUGAAAUUAAGCAUUGUCAAGCCUGGUCAGUACCUAGAUGGGUGACCACUUGGAAAUACCAGGCGCUGUAAG